AGCUAACUCUAUUUGUUUUGGUGAGUAGAAUCAUUCCAUUCAGACUUUUUGCUGUAAACACUUUGUUUUCAGAGAAAAUGCAGUGUUUACAUUACAGCCUAGGGAUAUCUCCACUGGCCAGUCCUCAAAUGGCUACUAAAGGUGCUUCCUGGGGCAGUGCUGCACAGUGUGACUGACAUUCAGUGUCUCCACCAUCUGCAUGGAGACACUGAAUUUUCCUCAUAGAGAUGCA